rnacentral:rRNA from 1 species
UACAGAGGUCUCAAGCGUUGUUCGGAUUCAUUGGGCGUAAAGGGUGCGUAGGCGGCGCGGAAAGUCGGGUGUGAAAUUUCGGAGCUUAACUCCGAAACUGCAUUCGAUACUCCCAUGCUUGAGGACUGGAGAGGAGACUGGAAUUUACGGUGUAGCAGUGAAAUGCGUAGAGAUCGUAAGGAAGACCAGUUGCGAAGGCGGGUCUCUGGACAGUUCCUGACGCUGAGGCACGAAGGCCAGGGGAGCAAACGGG